UGCUGGGUGUAUUCCCGGCGCUAUUGAAAAACCGAAAAUUCUGACGCAUCGUAGGUAAAUUUAGUGCAACGUCCUCGAAAGAACGCUACAAGCCGUACGAUGCGAUUCGUAUCGAGUUAUAGUUCGUUGUUAUUAACGUUGUCGCUGACGUAGCCAUUCAUUGAUCGCGGCUGACGAUGCAGAAACAGAUCUAAUUCGGAUUUUCCGGUGCAGAUUCGGUGGAUGCUCCUUUUACGGUUCCACGCAUAGCUAUCAGCCUGAGACGUCAUGCUAAAAGAAGAAUGAGAAAAAGACCAGAAAUAUAUAAAGAAACAGGGGAUAAUGUGAGAAAACAGAAUGAAGCUCUAACAUAACACGCAAAAUCACGUUAUAAGCAUAUGCAAGAUAUAAAUAAAUAAUUCCAGAGAAUUUCAUACAAAUCGAACUUCUUUUAAAGUCAAAUCUUUUUUAGAGGAAAAUUACAUGAAGUAAUCAAAUAUACUACGAUUGGCCAUCGAAAUGAUAAUAAAUAUAUCCACUGCAGAAGGAAUUUUUAAUUCCUCUAACUGCGCAGCAAAGUCAACGGACAUUUGGCAGCCAACAUCGAAUCAAGUAAUUAGACGAAUCCGAGUCAAGUUGAUUACGUAAUCAUAGCAGAUUCGAGUCAAAAUUUCAUAAGAUGACAAUCCAAACGACGAAAUAAGUGAAUUCCUUGUGAAAAAAAGCAUUAUUCGUUAUAAAUAAUCUUCAGAAUUUUGGGAUGUCUCACAGAAAAAGCUCGGUCAUUUAUUUUUCAGAAUGAUAUACAAGUUUUCUAGAAUUUUUCAAAUUGUUUCUUGGUUAACCAUAAUUAUUUAUAGAUAGAAGGAAUCCUAAUUGAGAAGAAAAAUUACUGUAACGCUGAAAUCGCUGAUCAGGUAAGCAUAAUAUAGGUAAGUAUGUAGAGAUAAAAACUUAGAUUUAAGUAAACUGUCAAAAAAAAUGAUUAAUUUUUAAAAUCCACUCAAAUGAGGUAAGUAUCAAUAUGGUAAGUAUUUCAGGUAAGUAUAGGUAAGUAUAUAGAUAUAAUAUACAUAAAAUUUGAUAAAAAAUCUUUAUUUUUACAUAUCUUUAAAAUUUUAUUUAUCAUUUGUUCAUUUAUUAUAUUCUCCGAAUAAGAAGACAAAAUUUUAAUCGAAAAACUUUGGACUUAGAAUUUCUCAAAAAAUUUCUCGAACGACCUCCUAUCAACUCAUGUUUUCCUAAUACAAAGUCGAAAAUUUAGCCAAAAAUUUCGUUCGUUCAGGAAUUUGGAAAAUUCCAGGAAUUUGACGUCAUUUCUAGGAAUUUCUAAAAUUCUUAGAAUUUGACGUCAUUUCCAAGA